rnacentral:lncRNA from 10 species
AUAAAAGCUGGCCACCACCCCCCACUCCAAGCCAGCAGGCAACCUGCUCCAGUCACCUUCCAUGCUGUGGAAGCUUUGUUCUUUCGCUGUUCACAAAAAAUCUUAUUGCUGCUCACUCUUUGGGUCUGUGCCACCUUUAAGAGCUGUAACACUCACCACAGAGGUCUGCAGCUUCAUUCUUGAAGUCAGUGAGACCAAGAAUCCAUCAGAAGGAACCAACUCUGGACACAUUAGGACAUGGGCCUGGAGCUGCUGGGGCCAUUUCUGCCACCUUGUAGGGACAGCCAGCUCGAGGAUGAAGUCAACAGAGAAGAACGGAAGCUGAGAAACAGAACUAAUCAUUCCACCUAGCACCUGGGUUCAGCCAGGACUAACACUGGUCAUGGGAACCCUGGAGCCCCACGGCAGAUGUCACAGAUUGGCUUGCUCACCUCUGUCUUAGUCUCCUGGAGGCAGUGAGGCCCUGCAGCUAGCACCUGGGAUAACAGCAUCCAUCUAAUCUCCAGGUCAUAGCAGAAAUAAUGCAGUUCUUGGAAACAGCAGUUGGGUCCCCCAGCUUUCUGAUUAUGGUGGAGGGAGCAGCUUCUCUGGCAAGAAACUUUGGCAGUGACAUUCUGGGACUCUUUCCUCGAAGCUGAGCCUGCAGCCUCCUCCCCCAGCCCUUCCAUGGGGUCAUAAUCCCCUAAUUCCCUGCAUUAAAUCCCUUUCUGGUGAAGCCAGCCAGAGUGGUGUCUAUGAUCUGCUGCUGCACGUGGACUGAUAUGUGGCCCAAUGAGGGAAAAGAAGGAGGACCAUUGGAGGACAUUCCUCUCCAGGGGCAGGUCGCUAGGCAGGAACCUGGGAUCCUGGGAAAAGCAUGGGAUCCUAUCAGUUUUUUCCUCUUGAGAUCCACAAAGGUAUAUAGGAAAGGAUGUGGAGAUAGCCAUGGGUGAUCGGGGUUUCUAAUCGCAACUCUUCUCAUCACUUGAUGCAUGCACAUUGGCCAUCCUGUGCCCCUUCCUUAGACUCAGGCAUCCCCAACAGUCCCACUCUCAUCUCUGACAUUCUGUGGCAUCGAGUCUCCAGUUACCAAGGGAGCUUUUUGGUAGUGGAGAAGCAGGCUGAGAUUUAGAGUAGACCCCUCUUUAAAUGUCACCGUGCAGUGCUUUCCUGUUUAAAGGGAGAUUGACAGCCACAAGCAACCUAAUGAGAUUGCUGCUCUGCCCCUUCUCUUAGCAG